rnacentral:rRNA from 1 species
UGGGAUGUGAUGGGGAGCGAAAUUUAGUAGCGAAGUAGCUGAUUUCACACUGUCAAGAAAAGUCUCUAUCGAGGUUAAAGGUACCCGUACCGCAAACCGACACAGGUGGGUGAGGAGAGUAUCCUAAGGCCAGCGAGAGAACUGUUGUUAAGGAACUCGGCAAAAUGACCCCGUAACUUAGGGAUAAGGGGUGCCACCAUCAGGUGGCCGCAGAGAAUAGGCCCAAGCGACUGUUUACCAAAAACAUAGGUUUCUGCUAAGUCGCAAGACGAUGUAUAGGAGCUGACGCCUGCCCGGUGCUGGAAGGUUAAGGGGAUCUGUUAGAGCAAUCGAAGCAGUGAACUUAAGCCCCAGUAAACGGCGGCCGUAACUAUAACGGUCCUAAGGUAGCGAAAUUCCUUGUCGGGUAAGUUCCGACCCGCACGAAAGGCGUAACGAUUUGGGCACUGUCUCAACAACAGACUCGGUGAAAUUGUAAUUCCGGUGAAGAUGCCGGAUACCUGCGACAGGACGGAAAGACCCCAUGGAGCUUUACUGUAGCUUGACAUUGGGUCUUGGUACUACAUGUACAGGAUAGGUGGGAGGCUUUGAAACCAGGACGCCAGUUUUGGCGGAGCCAUCCUUGGGAUACCACCCUUGUAGUACUGGGACUCUAACCAUAGGCCAUGAAUCUGGUCUUGGGACACUGUCAGGUGGGCAGUUUGACUGGGGCGGUCGCCUCCCAAAAGGUAACGGAGGCGCUCAAAGGUUCUCUCAGUACGGUCGGAAAUCGUACGUAGAGUGUAAAGGCAAAAGAGAGCUUGAUUGCAAGACAUACAGGUCGAGCAAGGAUGAAAAUCGGACUUAGUGAUCCGGUGGUUCUGCGUGGAAGGGCCAUCGCUCAACGGAUAAAAGCUACCCUGGGGAUAACAGGCUUAUCUCCCCCAAGAGUCCACAUCGACGGGGAGGUUUGGCACCUCGAUGUCGGCUCAUCACAUCCUGGGGCUGUAGUAGGUCCCAAGGGUUGGGCUGUUCGCCCAUUAAAGUGGUACGCGAGCUGGGUUCAGAACGUCGUGAGACAGUUCGGUCCCUAUCCGUCGCAGGCGUAGGAAAUUUGAGAAGACCUGUCCUUAGUACGAGAGGACCGGGAUGGACGUACCUCUGGUGUACCAGUUGUCCUGCCAAGGGCAUGGCUGGGUAGCUAUGUACGGAAUGGAUAAGCGCUGAAAGCAUCUAAGCGCGAAGCCAACUUCAAGAUAAGAUUUCCCACCGCAAGGGUAAGACCCCAGAAAGACUAUCUGGUUGAUAGGUCGAAGGUGUAAGUGCA